CUUGCCAAUUUUGAUAGUAGGUAACCUUGUGAAGAUGUUUGUUAAACUGCAAGGAGUUAAGGUAUGUUGAUUCAGUUAUUAUAAGGAUACUUUUAAUAGGUGGAUUUGUUGUAGCAGCAAUGUUGCAGCAGGAGCAGGAAACCUGCAACGACAACUUAACGUGCUUAUUAUAUACGUUCAUAAAAACAUGAUUCUCUUGGUAGCAAUAAUAUACGCUCUCUGUGAGAGAAUAAUCUUAUAUGUUGAAUGUAGGGAUAUAUUUAACCUCUAUAAGAAAUUCCAAAUAAUGCUAUUGGUCGUGAACUUGAGAAAUCAAGGUAUAACAAGAGUUUGUAGUACAAGUAGCCAAAAGGACUAGAAUAUUAGAAAAUAAUAAAGCUUUUCUGAAAAACUGGUGAAAGUUAGAGGUAGUCAAUCCUCUUCAAGUUUUUAGUGUUGUUGCACUAUUGUAAAAUACGGGGCAAGAAGCAUUGGGGUAGCUCCUUAAUGCUCAGACUUGUCUUCUUGGUGGUUGAAUAUAUGAGAAGUAUGUAAUCGGUAAGGUGAAGACCUACCUGCUAUUUUCACAUGGA
rnacentral:sRNA from 12 species